rnacentral:rRNA from 1 species
GACGAACGCUGGCGGCGUGCCUAAUACAUGCAAGUCGAGCGAAGUUUUUCUGGUGCUUGCACUAGAAAAACUUAGCGGCGAACGGGUGAGUAACACGUAAAGAACCUGCCUCAUAGACUGGGACAACUAUUGGAAACGAUAGCUAAUACCGGAUAACAGUAUUUCUCGCAUGAGAGAUAUUUAAAAGUUGGUUAUGCUAACACUAUGAGAUGGCUUUGCGGUGCAUUAGCUAGUUGGUGGGGUAAAGGCCCACCAAGGCGACGAUGCAUAGCCGACCUGAGAGGGUGAUCGGCCACACUGGGACUGAGACACGGCCCAGACUCCUACGGGAGGCAGCAGUAGGGAAUCUUCCGCAAUGGGCGAAAGCCCGACGGAGCAACGCCGCGUGAGUGAAGAAGGAUUUCGGUUCGUAAAGCUCUGUUGUUAGGGAAGAAUGGAUAUGUAGUAACUAUACAUGUAAGAGACGGUACCUAACCAGAAAGCCACGGCUAACUACGUG